rnacentral:rRNA from 1 species
UACGUAGGUGGCGAGCGUUGUCCGGAUUUAUUGGGCGUAAAGCGCGCGCAGGCGGUGCGGUAAGUCUGUCGUGAAAUCUCCCGGCUCAACUGGGAGGGUGCGGUGGAGGCUGCCGGACUGGAGGCACUCAGAGGCCGGUGGAAUUCCCGGUGUAGUGGUGAAAUGCGCAGAUAUCAGGAGGAACACCGGUGGCGAAGGCGGGUCUCUGGGCAGUAACUGACGCUGAGGAGCGAAAGCGUGGGUAGCAAACAGG